ACUCGUAUUUUAUAUCACUUAUUUCCCUUUACACAAAUUCAGGAGGUCGCGGGCUGAUGGCUCUCAAAUUCCUUUGCGCGUCAUGACGUGAUGCAAAGUCAUAAAAGGCGUCACAUGGUCACAUGACUUCCAUAUAUCUAAAACCGCAUAAUUCGAACUCAAUGGAAAACUUCUGUCUUAACAGACACAUGAAUAUCAAUCAACCGAGACGAAAGCUCUAAAAACCCUUAUCUAGUGAAGAAGUAUGACUGAAGAUAUGUGGCAUUGACUGUACUUGCUGAAUGGAAGUCACCAAGUAAAAUUGUUGCCCGAACAGGGGCAGGAAAGGGGAAAGGAGAUGUUAUUGUUGUAACUAAAUCUGGAGGCAAGGGCAGCUGUACUGUUGGUUUCCGUGGCUACUUUCUACAAAUAGGUCCAUUGCAAGAAUCAGCUGUGUGGAUUGAUGAAUCACAGACUGUGAGAGCCAAUCUAGACCAUGGACGAAUAGCCACUGCUGCUCCACUGAAAGAGGAGGAAGAUCCUCUUGGAAUUUCAGAUGAGGGAGACAAUUUUGAGGAUUUUGAAAGACGGCUUGACAUAUAUGAAGAGGAAAGCUUCACAACGUUCUGAGGGUCCAUCACAGUUGUACGAUCUAACCUCACAGCCAUUUUGGAUUGUCUUGAUAGUCUCUGUCACCUGCACUCUACAGUGCCUUUCAGACGAAGAACAAAAGUAAAUCAAAACACAGACAACAAUUAAAAUUUUAAAAAUAAUAUAAUUUGAAAUCCAUAAAAAAACCACAAAACAAUUCCUAAUUUCCCAACCCCACAGUUUGAACACAUGCUUCUUCCAAUGUCUCACAAAUAUUCAGUCCUCUUGCCGAUAGUACUGUUCCUCACAAAGUCUCAGCUUGAACAGCACAAUGUUUUCACUUCAUAACAUACACAAAUAUAUCCAUGUGAAAAGUAACACAAAGUUUCCACCUCUUGAAGGUAUAUCCAACUCAGCUCUGGUCAGGAACAUCAGGCGGAUACAAAGAAUAGGAACAAACAGAAGAGAAAAACACAAAACACAAAAGAAAUCCAAAAGAAAAUCCAAAAGAAAAACCUGGAGAGAAAAACAAAACCAAUCUUUAGCCAAAUGUAAGUUCAACUCUUAACUAUUUUAAACCAUAUUCAUAAACUAUACACUAAUAUAUCACACUCAUCAGAAAUUUCCCCAUUCUUCAACAUUAACCACAGGCUCACAAAAAAAUCAUCAAAGAUAUACACUCACCUCAACAGGUUCUAUGUUAUACAAAGACACAAACCCAUCUGGUAACUCCCAAGUCUGGUCAGGACUUGUACAAUACAAUACAAAUCUGUUCAGGAUUUGUACCCAGAAGUACACCUUAAACCUUUGUAAAACAUUUAUAAAAAACCUACUAUUAAACUUUAAAACUCUGCUAUAUGAAAGAGAAGCAGAGUAGAAAAUAAGACUAACAUAAUAAAACUGUCACAAAGAUCUUGUCAUACCUGCGACAUAAUGUUGUUGAUUCUGCACCGCGGCCAGAUGACCCAUUGGGCGUGCUUGACGUGCUUGACGUGCUUGUUGUGCUUGAAGUGCUUGACGUGCAGGACGUGCUUGACGUGCAGGACGUCCUGGACGGCGAGGACGUCCUGGACGCCUGACUGCGGCUACACGACGGUGGACCUCCACCCUCCUCUCACCUUCUCGCUGCUGGGCCGUGGGGCGUCUUUUUGCCUUUGGAUGCAAAUAAUAAAAAAAGGACUUUAUUAACUCAUUCCAUUCAACAAGCUGUUGAUGACGUCAUUUUCGUUUCGUCUCAGCUCUGCCCUUAUAUACCUCUGGGAAGGGGUAAACUGCGAUGCUCCGAUACGGUCGGGGCCAUGUUGUUGAGCUUGAAAGGGAGAGUGCUUCCUCCUCAAGGCGAUUUCGCACUAUGGGGGAGGGGGGCCAGGGAUUUGCUGGGGAGGGGAAGGCUUUUGGAACCCUGUAUGGGGCACCAAGAGGGGAAUUUUCUCUAAUGUUCUCUUUAUAGUUAUACAAAGGAUUUUAUACUUAUAGAAUUCAUUCUGUAGCUAUACAAUGCAUUAUAUACGUAAAAAAGAACGCUAAAAUGUCCUAGCGUUUGUGGGAGCGCGAAUGACUGUGACAGUUUGACAGUUAUAGAAUGCAUUCUAGUGAUUCUAUAGCUAGUGGGAGAAAAACUCGAUAAAAACUAAAGUAUUUCAUUUAUAUUACACUGAAUUUGCUAUCCAAUUCAUUUUAUAUAUACAAUUCCUUUCUGUAACUACAGAAUGCAUUUUAGCCUUUUUUUUUUUGUUUUUUUUUUUUUUUUUAACCGAGUUUUUACCUCUCUAGCCAUAUAAUGCAUUCUAUAAGUAUAGAAUUCAAUGUAUAACUAUAGAAUGGAAUCUAUAAGUACAGAAUGAAAUGUAUAUCUAUAGAAUGCAUUCUAUAAUUAUAGAAUUGAAUGGCAUAAAUAUAAAAUGUAUUGUAUAGCUAUAAAGA